rnacentral:rRNA from 1 species
UAAAAAAUUUUGGCGGUAUUUUAAGCUUAUUAGAGGAAUUUGCUCUGUGAUGGACACAACGCCUUAAUCUUACUUAAUUUAGUAAUUUAAAUCAGUUUGUAUACCACUAUAUUAAUUAUAUUGAAUAGUUAUAUUUAAAAUUUUUUUUUAAAAAAUAUAUUAAGUCAAGGUGCAUCUAAUAAUUAUGAAUGAAGUGAAUUACAUUAAUUUUAAUGUAAUUUUUUACAUGAAAAAAUUAAUUAGGAUUUAAUAGUAAAAUACUAAUAUUAUGAGUAUUUGAAUCAAGCUCUAAAAUAUGCACAUAUCGCCCGUCGCUCUCAGAAGUGAGAUAAGUCGUAACAAAGUAAAAAUACUGGAAAGUGUUUUUUAAAAUGAAAUCAUUCGAUGUUUCAUUUACAAUGAAAAUUUUGUUGUUUAACCAUUUUAA